GGCGAGGUAGCUCAGGUGGUUAGAGCACAGGAUUCAUAACCCUGAGGUCGGGAGUUCAAGUCUCCUCCUCGCUA
rnacentral:tRNA from 1 species